UGCAGAGGGGGCGAGCGUUGUUCGGAAUUACUGGGCGUAAAGGGCGCGUAGGCGGCCUUCUAAGUCGGACGUGAAAUCCCUCGGCUCAACCGAGGAACUGCGUCCGAUACUGGUUGGCUUGAAUUCGGGAGAGGGAUGCGGAAUUCCAGGUGUAGCGGUGAAAUGCGUAGAUAUCUGGAGGAACACCGGUGGCGAAGGCGGCAUCCUGGACCGAUAUUGACGCUGAUGCGCGAAAGCCAGGGGAGCAAACGGG
rnacentral:rRNA from 1 species